GGGACACGUGGUAUCCUGUCUGAAUAUGGGGGGACCAUCCUCCAAGGCUAAAUACUCCUGACUGACCGAUAGUGAACCAGUACCGUGAGGGAAAGGCGAAAAGAACCCCGGCGAGGGGAGUGAAAAAGAACCUGAAACCGUGUACGUACAAGCAGUGGGAGCCUCUUAAUGGGGUGACUGCGUACCUUUUGUAUAAUGGGUCAGCGACUUAUAUUCUGUAGCAAGGUUAACCGAAUAGGGGAGCCGAAGGGAAACCGAGUCUUAACUGGGCGUUAAGUUGCAGGGUAUAGACCCGAAACCCGGUGAUCUAGCCAUGGGCAGGUUGAAGGUUGGGUAACACUAACUGGAGGACCGAACCGACUAAUGUUGAAAAAUUAGCGGAUGACUUGUGGCUGGGGGUGAAAGGCCAAUCAAACCGGGAGAUAGCUGGUUCUCCCCGAAAGCUAUUUAGGUAGCGCCUCGUGAAUUCAUCUCCGGGGGUAGAGCACUGUUUCGGCAAGGGGGUCAUCCCGACUUACCAACCCGAUGCAAACUGCGAAUACCGGAGAAUGUUAUCACGGGAGACACACGGCGGGUGCUAACGUCCGUCGUGAAGAGGGAAACAACCCAGACCGCCAGCUAAGGUCCCAAAGUCAUGGUUAAGUGGGAAACGAUGUGGGAAGGCCCAGACAGCCAGGAUGUUGGCUUAGAAGCAGCCAUCAUUUAAAGAAAGCGUAAUAGCUCACUGGUCGAGUCGGCCUGCGCGGAAGAUGUAACGGGGCUAAACCAUGCACCGAAGCUGCGGCAGCGACACUAUGUGUUGUUGGGUAGGGGAGCGUUCUGUAAGCCUGUGAAGGUGGCCUGUGAGGGUUGCUGG
rnacentral:rRNA from 1 species